ACUUCAGCUAUGCAAUGCAGAAGAGGUUUCCAUCAAUCCUUGAAGCGUAUUACAAAUCCAAUGAGUGGUCUGGCAUUCAUGGCAUAAGGGAGAAGGACCAAAUGACAUGGUUAAGCAGCAAGAACUGAACCCUCUGUGCCUGAACUGUUUCUUCUUCUUGAUGAUGCUUUUCACAUCUCUGUUGUGAAGCCAUUUGUCACGUUCUAUUUCCCACUGGAUCUGUUUGGCAUCUGUAAGAGGAGAGGUGAGACCUGAGGAGCUGACAGAUACCUCUGACCGUGAUGUGGAACACAGAUGAAUCAUGUAAAAGUUAAAACCUGGCUGUUGUAUUUAUAAACGUUAAUAAAACGC